AGCCUUCUGUAUCCCUGCUGAGAUUUCGUCACAAACUAGACCACAAGGGCUUUUGAGGCUGCCAAGAUAAGUGAAUCG
rnacentral:pre_miRNA from 1 species